CCUAGUCAAAGUACUACUCGCCUCUGUCUAGGCACGAGUUUAGUAAGUUUGCCUUUCUCCAGGCACAAGUUUACACUCAACUCGCCUAACAAGAGUACAUCUACUCUCCCUCGCUCAGGCACGAGUUACUGGCCGAGUCACUACUUCUAGGGACGAUUUCAUAGUAAACUCUCCUAGCAAGAGUACAACUCGCGUCCUAGGCAUGAGUUCACUAGCCAACUCGCCUAGUCAAAGUACUACUCGCCUCUGUCUAGGCACGAGUUUAGUAAGCUUGCCUUUCUCCGGGCACAAGUUUACACUCAACUCGCCUAACAAGAGUACAUCUACUCUC
rnacentral:lncRNA from 1 species